CAGGCCUGAACCUUUCAGUCUACCCCAGAAGAGUGCUCUAGUGGACCCUUGAGGGAUGAUCACACUCAAGAGCCAUGGAUAUAACUAGGCACUCAGCUUUCUACAAGCUGAGACAGUCUGAAUGGCGUGUUCUAGAUGACAAAAGCUGGGAGCUGAUGAGAGGAGUUAGAGGUCAGUGCUGGCACAGGAAUGAAUGGGUAUGAAUUAAGCUUGAAUAAAAU
rnacentral:lncRNA from 1 species